CUCCUACGGGAGGCAGCAGUCGGGAAUUUUGGGCAAUGGGCGAAAGCCUGACCCAGCAACACCGCGUGAAGGAUGAAAUCCCUCGGGAUGUAAACUUCGCAAGAAUGGGAAGAAUUAGUGGGGGUUAAUACCCCCUAUGAUGACGGUACCAUUUGUAAGCUCCGGCUAACUCCGUGCCAGCAGCCGCGGUAA
rnacentral:rRNA from 1 species